rnacentral:lncRNA from 1 species
AUUUUUUUUUAAUUAUUAUUUUUAGAUAUAUAAUGUAAAAUAAAUUCGGAUUCAGGUCCAGCUCGGGUUCGGAUAGGGUAGUCAAAAUUUAUAUCUGAAUCCAUAUACGUUGGAUUUUUAUUUUUGAUAUCUAUAUUUAAAAUCAUAUCCNCCAUUUAGUAUCGAAUAUAUCCGUUUCAUUCGGAUUCGGAUUCGGAUAAAAUUUUGGGUAUCCAUACCCAUUGACAUCCCUAGUGGCCCGAAUCCAACUAAGUCUGGAAAAGUCAAUUCAAACUCGUGGGCAGGGAUGUCAACGGAUCGAAUUUUUAAAAAUCCGAAUCCAAACCCAACUACAAACCUGAAAUCCGAACCUUAAUCAAAAUCCGACAGAUUUUAAAAAUCCACAUCAAAAUCCGAACUCAAGCAAAAAUUCGAAAUCCGAAUCCGAAUCCGAAAACUUGAACCCGAAAUUGUUAUUUCUCUUUACCAUAUUUCAAAAUAUAUUAUAUUAAAUCUAAAUUUUUAAAAUAUAAAUUCAAAUAUAACAGCAAAUAUUUAUAUACGUAUAUUAUAUAAUAGAAAUUUAAUUUGGAUACAGGCCAAAUAUAGAUAAAAUUUAUACCCGGAAUCCAAAUUUGUCAUAUUUUUAUUUUUAUUUGUUUUAUAUCUUUUUGAAAUUAAGUAAAUCCACUUUGUUGGGAUUCGG